rnacentral:rRNA from 1 species
ACGGGAGGCAGCAGUGGGGGAUAUUGGACAAUGGGGGCAACCCUGAUCCAGCCAUGCCGCGUGUGUGAAGAAGGCCUUUUGGUUGUAAAGCACUUUAAGCGAGGAGGAGGCUACUUUGGUUAAUACCCAGAGAUAGUGGACGUUACUCGCAGAAUAAGCACCGGCUAACUCUGUGCCAGCAGCCGCGGUAAUACAGAGGGUGCGAGCGUUAAUCGGAUUUACUGGGCGUAAAGCGUGCGUAGGUGGCCAAUUAAGUCAAAUGUGAAAUCCCCGAGCUUAACUUGGGAAUUGCAUUCGACACUGGUUGGCUAGAGUAUGGGAGAGGAUGGUAGAAUUCCAGGUGUAGCGGUGAAAUGCGUAGAGAUCUGGAGGAAUACCGAUGGCGAAGGCAGCCAUCUGGCCUAAUACUGACACUGAGGUACGAAAGCAUGGGGAGCAAACAGGAUUAGAUACCCUGGUA